rnacentral:rRNA from 1 species
GGAGGCUAACCUGCAAGUCGAGCGGUAACACAGAGAGCUUGCUCUCGGGUGACGAGCGGCGGACGGGUGAGUAAUGUCUGGGAAACUGCCUGAUGGAGGGGGAUAACUACUGGAAACGGUAGCUAAUACCGCAUAACGUCGCAAGACCAAAGAGGGGGACCUUCGGGCCUCUUGCCAUCAGAUGUGCCCAGAUGGGAUUAGCUAGUAGGUGGGGUAACGGCUCACCUAGGCGACGAUCCCUAGCUGGUCUGAGAGGAUGACCAGCCACACUGGAACUGAGACACGGUCCAGACUCCUACGGGAGGCAGCAGUGGGGAAUAUUGCACAAUGGGCGCAAGCCUGAUGCAGCCAUGCCGCGUGUAUGAAGAAGGCCUUCGGGUUGUAAAGUACUUUCAGCGGGGAGGAAGGUGUUGAGGUUAAUAACCUCAGCAAUUGACGUUACCCGCAGAAGAAGCACCGGCUAACUCCGUGCCAGCAGCCGCGGUAAUACGGAGGGUGCAAGCGUUAAUCGGAAUUACUGGGCGUAAAGCGCACGCAGGCGGUCUGUCAAGUCGGAUGUGAAAUCCCCGGGCUCAACCUGGGAACUGCAUUCGAAACUGGCAGGCUAGAGUCUUGUAGAGGGGGGUAGAAUUCCAGGUGUAGCGGUGAAAUGCGUAGAGAUCUGGAGGAAUACCGGUGGCGAAGGCGGCCCCCUGGACAAAGACUGACGCUCAGGUGCGAAAGCGUGGGGAGCAAACAGGAUUAGAUACCCUGGUAGUCCACGCCGUAAACGAUGUCGACUUGGAGGUUGUGCCCUUGAGGCGUGGCUUCCGGAGCUAACGCGUUAAGUCGACCGCCUGGGGAGUACGGCCGCAAGGUUAAAACUCAAAUGAAUUGACGGGGGCCCGCACAAGCGGUGGAGCAUGUGGUUUAAUUCGAUGCAACGCGAAGAACCUUACCUACUCUUGACAUCCAGAGAACUUUCCAGAGAUGGAUUGGUGCCUUCGGGAACUCUGAGACAGGUGCUGCAUGGCUGUCGUCAGCUCGUGUUGUGAAAUGUUGGGUUAAGUCCCGCAACGAGCGCAACCCUUAUCCUUUGUUGCCAGCGGUUCGGCCGGGAACUCAAAGGAGACUGCCAGUGAUAAACUGGAGGAAGGUGGGGAUGACGUCAAGUCAUCAUGGCCCUUACGAGUAGGGCUACACACGUGCUACAAUGGCGCAUACAAAGAGAAGCGACCUCGCGAGAGCAAGCGGACCUCAUAAAGUGCGUCGUAGUCCGGAUUGGAGUCUGCAACUCGACUCCAUGAAGUCGGAAUCGCUAGUAAUCGUAGAUCAGAAUGCUACGGUGAAUACGUUCCCGGGCCUUGUACACACCGCCCGUCACACCAUGGGAGUGGGUUGCAAAAGAAGUAGGUAGCUUAACCUUCGGGAGGGCGCUUACCACUUUGUGAUUCAUGACUGGGGGAAGUCGAACAAGGUGCAUG